rnacentral:piRNA from 1 species
UUGGAAAAUAGUAGGUGCUAUGUCAGGCUU